UGGGGAAUAUUGCACAAUGGGCGCAAGCCUGAUGCAGCCAUGCCGCGUGUAUGAAGAAGGCCUUCGGGUUGUAAAGUACUUUCAGCGGGGAGGAAGGGAGUAAAGUUAAUACCUUUGCCCAUUGACGUUACCCGCAGAAGAAGCACCGGCUAACUCCGUGCCAGCAGCCGCGGUAAUACGGAGGGUGCAAGCGUUAAUCGGAAUUACUGGGCGUAAAGCGCACGCAGGCGGUUUGUUAAGUCAGAUGUGAAAUCCUCGGGCUCAAACUGGGAACUGCAUCUGAUACUGGCAAGCUUGAGUCUCGUAGAGGGGGGGAGGAUUCCAGGUGUAGCAGUGAAGUGCGUAGAGAUCUGGAGGAGUACCGGUGGCGAAGGCGGCCCCCUGGACGAAGACUGACGCUCAGGUGCGAAAGCAUGGGGAGCAAACAGG
rnacentral:rRNA from 1 species